rnacentral:rRNA from 1 species
GUGAACGCUGGCGGUAGGCCUAACACAUGCAAGUCGAACGGCAGCACCGUAAGAGCUUGCUCUUACGGGUGGCGAGUGGCGGACGGGUGAGGAAUACAUCGGAAUCUACUUUUUCGUGGGGGAUAACGUAGGGAAACUUACGCUAAUACCGCAUACGACCUACGGGUGAAAGCAGGAGAUCUUCGGACCUUGCGCGAUUGAAUGAGCCGAUGUCGGAUUAGCUAGUUGGCGGGGUAAAGGCCCACCAAGGCGACGAUCCGUAGCUGGUCUGAGAGGAUGAUCAGCCACACUGGAACUGAGACACGGUCCAGACUCCUACGGGAGGCAGCAGUGGGGAAUAUUGGACAAUGGGCGCAAGCCUGAUCCAGCCAUACCGCGUGGGUGAAGAAGGCCUUCGGGUUGUAAAGCCCUUUUGUUGGGAAAGAAAAGCAGCAGGUUAAUACCCCGCUGUUCUGACGGUACCCAAAGAAUAAGCACCGGCUAACUUCGUG